GACGAACGCUGGCGGCGUGCCUAAUACAUGCGAGUAGAACGCACAGUUUAUACCGUAGCUUGCUACACCAUAGACUGUGAGUUGCGAACGGGUGAGUAACGCGUAGGUAACCUGCCUGGUAGCGGGGGAUAACUAUUGGAAACGAUAGCUAAUACCGCAUAAUAUUGAUUAUUGCAUGAUAAUUAAUUGAAAGGUGCAAUUGCACCACUACCAGAUGGACCUGCGUUGUAUUAGCUAGUAGGUGAGGUAACGGCUCACCUAGGCGACGAUACAUAGCCGACCUGAGAGGGUGAUCGGCCACACUGGGACUGAGACACGGCCCAGACGCCUACGGGAGGCAGCAGUAGGGAAUCUUCGGCAAUGGACGAAAGUCUGACCGAGCAACGCCGCGUGAGUGAAGAAGGUUUUCGGAUCGUAAAGCUCUGUUGUAAGAGAAGAACGGGUGUGAGAGUGGAAAGUUCACACUGUGACGGUAUCUUACCAGAAAGGGACGGCUAACUACGUG
rnacentral:rRNA from 1 species